AUCAUUACUGAGUGAGGGCCCUCUGGGUCCAACCUCCCACCCGUGUUUAUUGUACCUUGUUGCUUCGGUGAGCCCGCCUCACGGCCGCCGGGGGGCUUCUGCCCCCGGGCCCGCGCCCACCGAAGACACCAUUGAACUCUGUCUGAAGAUUGCAGUCUGAGCAUAAACUAAAUAAGUUAAAACUUUCAACAACGGAUCUCUUGGUUCCGGCAUCGAUGAAGAACGCAGCGAAAUGCGAUAACUAAUGUGAAUUGCAGAAUUCAGUGAAUCAUCGAGUCUUUGAACGCACAUUGCGCCCCCUGGUAUUCCGGGGGGCAUGCCUGUCCGAGCGUCAUUGCUGCCCUCAAGCACGGCUUGUGUGUUGGGCUCCGUCCCCCCGGGGACGGGCCCGAAAGGCAGCGGCGGCACCGAGUCCGGUCCUCGAGCGUAUGGGGCUUUGUCACCCGCUCUGUAGGCCCGGCCGGCGCCAGCCGACAACCCAUCAUCCUUUUCAGGUUGACCUCGGAUCAGGUAGGGAUACCCGCUGAACUUAAGCAUAUCAU
rnacentral:sRNA from 1 species